rnacentral:rRNA from 1 species
GACAGAGGGGGCAAGCGUUGUUCGGAUUCAUUGGGUGUAAAGGGCAGGUAGGUGGCUGGGUAAGUCUGAUGUGAAAUCCCACGGCUCAACCGUGGAACUGCAUUGGAAACUGCUCGGCUUGAGUACCGCAGAGGUAAGGGGAAUUCCCGGUGUAAGGGUGAAAUCUGUAGAUAUCUGGAGGAACACCGGUGGCGAAGGCGGCAUCCUGGACCGGUAUUGACGCUGAGGCGCGAAAGCCAGGGGAGCAAACGGG